AUGAACGCUGGCGGCAUGGAUUAGGCAUGCAAGUCGAACGGUGAAGUGGAGCUUGCUCCGCGGAUCAGUGGCGAAAGGGUGAGCAAUACGUGAGCAACCUGCCCCCGAGUUCGGGAUAGGCCCGGGAAACUGGGAUUAAUACCGGAUGUGGUUGCCCGCUGCAUGGCGGGCGGACUAAAGGCGAAAGCCGCUCAGGGAUGGGCUCAUGUCCGAUUAGCUUGUUGGUAGGGUAACGGCCUACCAAGGCUUUGACCGGUAGCUGGUCUGAGAGGAUGGUCAGCCACACUGGGACUGAGACACUGCCCAGACUCCUACGGGAGGCUGCAGUCGAGAAUCUUCGGCAAUGGGCGAAAGCCUGACCGAGCGAUGCCGCGUGAGGGAUGAAGGCCUUCGGGUCGUAAACCUCUGUCACCCGGGACGAAGAAUGUGACGGUACCGGGAGAGGAAGCACCGGCUAACUACGU
rnacentral:rRNA from 1 species